UCAAAAUCAUUCACUGCGAUAGCAGUCGGAUUGUUUUAUUUUUACUUCAAAUAAGUUCCAACAGUCAUAAAGUCGUGCUGGGCACACUGAGGAUUGGAUAAAUACUUUUAACUGCAAAGCAACUAAUUUGCUCACUUUUAAAGCAUCACAAGCAAGAAGGCCUUUAAUAUCGUUUCAUUAAUGUAGCAAUGAACAAGUAGUACAUUUUGGUCAAACCUCACGAUUCACUCAAUCAAAUCAUCGCCUUAGAUCAACUACGUUGAUGGGUGCAAGUUCAUCAAACAUGGCGUGCUCAGCAGUCUGAAGAUAAAAACAUAUCAUUUAGAUCAAUUCAUCAUUAAAAAUAUGAUUAAUUUUACAGUGAAUAGGGGAGGUUCCGAAGGAUGCGGGUGGAAUCCAGUGCUUCUGCAAUUUGCAAUGAAAUCUAGUCCGUAACUAGUUGUCAACAUGUAAAUCCCAGUUCUGGAAGAAGGAAAUAUGAAUGAUAUAUUAAAAAAAGUCAUAACUCCUUACUCUUUAUAUCUGGGGGCACAAACAAUAGCAAUUGCUUCCGGCAUCAUUCUUUGGUAAGAGCAGUGCGUGUGCAAAUCCACGCUUGACAAGAACGAAGUUUGACUCGGUUAUAAGGUCAUGUUGGUCUUGGAAAUCAAAGAUCUCCUCUUCACUCAUAGUCGUGCAAGAAUCAGGAGUGCCGUUUUGCUUUGGAACCAAAAGGUGUGUUAUCUGGAGUUGGUUUUUGUUCUAAAAGGAAACAGAGAGAAAGUAUUUAGAUAGCUAAUCAUAAAAAGAAAAAAGUAUUUAUUUUAUACAAACCAAGCUUCCAGCAAGAAUUCCACAGGUCUCGAUGUUCUGGUCGGUGUUUUUCUGUGCCAGACUCAUGAACUGUGAUAGUAGCUUCGAAGGGAUGAUGACUUUUCGAAGUCCUAGCUGAUUGUGUAGAGAGGGACUAAGGAGAGACAGAGGUUUUGUUGACCUGUCUAUGUUUGGCUUCAAUAUGGAGCUAAAAUAAAUUAGAAUUAUUCUCAAAUUGAUCAAUAUUAUUAUUAAGUACACUUUACCUAGUUGGGAUUUCAAGCUUUGAAGGC